rnacentral:misc_RNA from 1 species
GAUGAAGAACGUAGCGAAAUGCGAUACUUGGUGUAAAUUGCAGAAUCCCGUGAACCAUCGAGUCUUUGAACGCAAGUUGCGCCCGAAGCCAUCAGGUUGAGGGCACGUCUGCCUGGGCGUCACAUAUCGUUGCCCAAUGCCUAUUGCAGUGCAAUAGGAAUUUCUAGGGCGAAUGAUGGCUUCCCGUGAGCGUUGUUGCCUCGCGGUUGGUUGAAAAUCGAGUCCUUGGUAGGGUGUGCCAUGGUAGAUGGUGGUCGAGUUAGAACGAUACCGAUCAUGUGCAUGCUCCCCAAAAUAUGGCCUCUAUGACCCACACGCGUCUUUUGACGCUCAUGACGAGACCUCAGGUCAGGCGGGGCUACCCGCUGAAUUUAAGCAUAUCAAUAAGCGGAGGA